rnacentral:rRNA from 1 species
UGGGGAAUUUUGGACAAUGGACGCAAGUCUGAUCCAGCCAUGCCGCGUGCGGGAAGAAGGCCUUCGGGUUGUAAACCGCUUUUGUCAGGGAAGAAACGAGUUUCUCUAAUACAGAGACCUAAUGACGGUACCUGAAGAAUAAGCACCGGCUAACUACGUGCCAGCAGCCGCGGUAAUACGUAGGGUGCGAGCGUUGAUCGGAAUUACUGGGCGUAAAGCGUGCGCAGGCGGUUAUGUAAGACAGAUGUGAAAUCCCCGGGCUCAACCUGGGAACUGCAUUUGUGACUGCAUGGCUAGAGUACGGUAGAGGGGGAUGGAAUUCCGCGUGUAGCAGUGAAAUGCGUAGAUAUGCGGAGGAACACCGAUGGCGAAGGCAAUCCCCUGGACCUGUACUGACGCUCAUGCACGAAAGCGUGGGGAGCAAACA